rnacentral:tRNA from 1 species
GCGGGCGUAGUUCAGUGGUAGAAUACCUCCUUGCCAAGGAGAAGGUCAUGGGUUCGAAUCCCAUCGCCCGCU